AGUUCCCCUCGCUCCGUGCCCAUGGGGGGUGUUACCCACAACCAGCCAGUCACCUUCCCUGAGCCCUCAGGAGGCUCCCCGGAUUUCGGCAGGGGCUGCACGCGGUAGGGAAGUGGCAGCGGGCCCUGGGCGUGCCGGGGCUGCAGGAAGAGCGGGAACCUUCGCCACCAGCACAGCCCUGAGCCGGGGCAGCAGGAGCCAUCGUCUCUCCCGGAGGCCCCCGCCCCGCAGCCAGGACGCAGACCCGCGACCUGCCCACGCACCGGGGACCCUCCACCUGCCCAGCUCGCCUGCGAGCUCCUGGCCAGGGCCCGGCCGCCCCGCCCCGCCCAGCCCCCAGCAGGUCCCGGCGGACGCGGCCGAGAACUUCGGGGCUGCGCGUGGGGCCAGGAGCCCGGGAGCCCAGGCCGGACGCUCGGGGCGGGCGACAGGGGCAGGGCCCGGUGCGCAAUCCCCAGCAAGCCUCGCCCUGCCCCACCCGCCCUGCCUCGCGCGGUCCCGGCAGGAAGGAGGGCUGCGUGGGGGUUCUCAAGGGAGGGCAGGGGUCGUGGGGCGCGGAGGUGACACUGGCGGACGUCCCGGCCCGCCCGGAACUCACAGUAUACGAAGGCUAGGGCCUUCAGGAGCACGAUCCGGGUCAGCCAGAAGGUGCCCGCGUGGAGCCCAGCUCCUGCCAGCACUGAGGACUGGACUUCAAGCUGUGGCAGAAGAGGGGGGCUCAGGACUUCGGAGGGAAAGAGUGACCGCUCAAUGCCCCAAACAGAACCCGAAGGAGGAUGCCAGCAACUCUACACUCUGAUGACUGAAUGGGAGUUCCAGGGGCUGCUCAGAAGUGGACGAGGCUGGAGUCACAGGGAUUCCUUAGAGGAAAGAGAACAACUGAGGCUGAAGUAGGCGCUGGAGACCUAGGGGUUAUUGGAUGGAAAUCAGGAAGGGCUGAUUUCUCCCUGUUUGUCAGAGCUCUUUACAUAUGAAAAGUCCUGUUCUUCUGUGUGUGUUGGAAAUGUUGUCCUGGUUUUUUGUUUUGUUUUAACGUGUUCUUGUCUUUAGCCUCUCUAGUGUUCCUAGUGUUUUGGCCUAUAAAUUAUCACCACUGGUAUGGCCAAAUGACCCAUCUUUAUUGCUUGUUCAAUUACCUGUUUAUAUCUUCACCACCUGUAGAGUGAGCCUCGGGUGGGCAGAGACCGACUGUGGACAUCGGGCCCCCAAAUGCAGGCCUGACCGGCCAUGGCCAGAGCCUCCCCAUGUCACUGGGGUAUAGCAUAUGUGUACAGCUUACGGUUUGAUUUCAGUUUUCGUUUCCUUUCCAUGAAAACGCCCCCUUAGGAGUCCAGCCGUGAAGUGGGACCCGUAAAAGGCGUUGCCAUGGGUGUGAGCACCCCAACAUCCUCUCAUGCUGGCCAAGCCUCUGGGCACGGUGUGUGCCUGAGGGCUGGGAGCCUCGGGGAUCGCAGGAGCCAUUGGCCCUGGCUGGCACCUGGCACCCAGGUCCCUCCACAGAGCCCACAACCAGCACCUCUCCUCGUGGCCUGGGCCGCCAGCUUUGGAAGGGCCAGCACAGCCCCCACUGCUCCCCUCCUGAGUGGGGAACGGGACACCCCCGAACCCUUGGGUCAUGCCUGCAGGGCGGGCCCUGUCUGGAUGCCAGGCCUGCCGGGGGAUGGACGGUGAGAGGGAGAGCCCUGCGUCAGGUGUGGCCCCGAGUCGUCCUCAGGUGGGGCAGCCCUCACAAGGAGCCUUUGUGCGCAGCUUCCCCUGCCGGGCAGAGCCGCUCUUCCCGCGAAGGGCACAAUGGGGCAUUGUGCAGAGCAGAAAAGGGCCCCUUGUUCCAGCUUCCAGCGCUCCAGGCUCCAGCUCUUCGUCUGCUCAGGGUGGGAGCAGCCAGCGGAAGGGUCUGCUGGGAGCUCCUGUUCUCUCUGAGCUCAAGUUUCCCUGGGAGCUUGCCCUCCUGGGACGCUGACCACAAGGGGUCCCAUCCACGGCUUAGAAUGGGUCCAGAGCAGGUCACCAGGGCAGGGCUCGGGCCGAGGAGAGGUGGACCAGCAGCUCUGUUUGUGCCCAUUUCAGCCUGAAUUUCAUCAAAAGUGCACUGGGUUAGGAUUUGGCCAUAAGAAGGAAUCCAGGAGCCAGGUGCGGUGGCUCAUGCCUGUCAACCCAGCACUUUGGGAGGCUGAGGCGGGUGGAUCACCUGAGGUCAGGGGUUCAAGACCAGCCUGGCCAACAUGGUGAAACCCUGUCCCUACUAAAAAUACAAAAACAUUAGGUGGGUGUGGUGGCACACUCCUGUAAUCCCAGCCACUCGGGAGGCUGUGGCAGGAGAAUCGCUUGAACCGGGGAGGCGGAGGUCCCAACGUGAGCUGAGAUCGCGCCACUUCGCUCCAGCCUGGGCCACAGAGUGAGACUCCGUCUCGAAAAAAUAAAAUACAAAGGAAUCCAGUUCAGACACAUGUUACAACAUGGACGAGCCUCAGAACAUCAGGCUCAGUGAGACAGGACGGACGCCAAGGUCACGGGUCGUAUGAGCCCAUUUACCUGAAAUGUCUAGAGCGGGCAAAGCCACGGGAAAGGAGGCAGGAUCUGUGGUCCACGGCUGGGUGGGGCUGUGGGGAUCGAACGUUUCACAGGUAGGACGUUUCCUUUUGGGCUGGUGAGAAUGUUGUGGAACUAGGAGGUGAUGGCCCAGCACGGCGAGGUGCCAAACGUCACUGAGGGGUUCUCUGGAACAUGGAGAAUUUCAUGCUAUGCGAACUUCACCUCAAAUUUUAGAAAAGUAAAAUGAAAACAAAAGGACAGCAGACAGCCCGCCCUGGUGCUUCAGGACCGCCGGAAUACGCCGUGCCAUUCACCCGCACUUCUUCGUCUAUAUUAAGGACCAUCUAGCAGUUUAAAAAUGACGUUUAGAAACAGAUGUGUCUCAUUCCCUAAGAAGGCACUUCACUUAAAAACGGAGGUUUCUCUGCAAACCCAGACAGAGCUGCAGCGCCCGGGAGAGGGGCCGGGUGGGGUCCCCGAGAUGUCUUCCUUUCACCCUGCAGCUCACCCCACUGCGGCCACGGGCAUGUGGGCUCUGGCCUGAGCGCCUCUCACCAACACGAGGCAGGAGGAGGAGGAGGGCAUCCUGAGCGUGCCCCGUCAAGCAAAAACUCUUAAGAGAAAAAGCCGGGCCGACGAGGGAGAGGCCUGAGGGAGUGGAGAUGAGGCUCCGCCACCCCAGGGCUGCCCGGUGCUGGGGCAGAAGAGGCUGAGAUGUGGAGGAGAGUAGAGAGGGAGGGAGGGGCUCCCCAGGGCUCCCCAAGAGCGCACAGGCUGAAGAUGGGGCUGCCUCCCUGGAGACCCACUAACAAGGCUACCCUAGGUGGGACCCUGUCCCCGCCGUCCCAGCCUGCGCCAGCACAACCCCCGGGAUCCAGGCACACACAAGCCCGCAGCUGGCCGCGCUCCCAGCAGCUGCGGACCAGCUUCACGGAGGAAUGAGCCCGUCGGCACCUCGUCCAGCUGUCCCCCAGCACCCCGGCCUGGCAGCUCCCGCUGCCUUGGGGCCAUUGUCCGUGGCGUGUGGUUGCAGCUGUCUCUGGCACCCACAGGAACCCAGCAUGGGUCCAAGGCUAAUCGUGCACCCUUCAUUUACCCCCAUUUUUCAUGUCCUGAGUUCUGUGAAUGGAAGGAGGCCCAGGACCCAUCGAUGCCAACAUCUGUCAUCUCCUUCUAGGAGCUCCAGGCCAUGACUGCCCCCACCCCUACCCCCCAGAAGGAGACGUGGCUCUUCGUGACCCUGCAAGCCGGCAAGCCGUGGUUUCUAGGCAGAGCAGAAGCGAAAUGCCCCACGCGGUCACGUUGUCAGGAACCAUAUUCUGCACUGGAAAAAACCCUGGAAACUGCCUGGCCCAGAGGUCACAAACCAGAGGCCCGCCGGCUGAACCCUGCCCACAGCACAGUGUCACUGUAGCAGUCACCAUGGUCACAGUAACGCUGCGGAACAAACAGCCUCAGAGCCCAGCGCCGUGUGUCGCCAGGUGGUGCUGCCCAAGCCCAGGCCCCGAGAAAGCCAGGGCAAAAGCAGAGCUGGACCCACCCCUCUGCCCCUUCCUCUGAGCCUCGGAAGCAAGGCUUUGCUGAAGGCUCUCGUUUGAAACCCAGGCUGCGGAGGAACCACUCCCUGCUCCCACCUUGCCCCUUGUACCCACCUGAGGGCAUCUUAAUUAAACCUUCCUUCCCUACAUUCAGAAAAAUAAAUACUUUGGAA